rnacentral:rRNA from 1 species
AGAACGAACGCUGGCGGCAUGCCUAAUACAUGCAAGUCGAACGAACUCUUCGGAGUUAGUGGCGCACGGGUGCGUAACGCGUGGGAAUCUGCCCCUUGGUUCGGAAUAACAGUUGGAAACGACUGCUAAUACCGGAUGAUGACGAAAGUCCAAAGAUUUAUCGCCAAGGGAUGAGCCCGCGUAGGAUUAGCUAGUUGGUGAGGUAAAGGCUCACCGAAGGCAACGAUCCUUAGCUGUCUGAGAGGAUGA